UGGGGAAUCUUGCACAAUGGGGGAAACCCUGAUGCAGCGACGCCGCGUGAGCGAUGAAGCCCUUCGGGGUGUAAAGCUCUUUCGGCAGGGAAGAUUAUGACGGUACCUGCAGAAGCAGCUGCGGCUAACUACGUGCCAGCAGCCGCGGUAAUACGUAGGCAGCAAGCGUUGUUCGGAGUUACUGGGCGUAAAGGGUGCGUAGGCGGUCCUAUAAGUAUGGUGUGAAAUCUCCCGGCUUAACUGGGAGGGUGCGCUAUAGACUGUGGGACUAGAGUGUGGGAGAGGAAAGUGGAAUUCCUGGUGUAGCGGUGAAAUGCGUAGAUAUCAGGAGGAACACCGGUGGUGUAAACGGCUUUCUGGACCAUAACUGACGCUGAGGCACGAAAGCGUGGGUAGCAAACAGGAUUAGAUACCCUGGUAGUCCACGCCCUAAACGAUGCAUAUUUGGUGUGGGUCAUUCAGUUGAUCCGUGCCGGAGCUAACGCGUUAAAUAUGCCGCCUGGGGAGUACAGUCGCAAGGCUG
rnacentral:rRNA from 1 species